GGCACUUGUAGAUUAUUUAAAUAAAUAAUCCAGGCACAAUAACCACUACAGCUCAGUGUAGUAGUUAUGGUGUCAGUAGUGCCAGGAUUCCACCCCAGAGUAAGUAGUCAUACCGUUUAAGAACAGUUUGACAACUUACCUGGGUCUGCUGGGAUAUAGGGUAUAGGAGCAGUGGUGUGUGUUAAGGGUGAAGUGUGUGAGUGCGGCAGUGUAUGUCAGGGUUGUAGUGUGUGUGUUAGGGGGCAGUGUAUGUAUGGGGGCACUGUAUGUGUUUUUGGGGCAGUGUGUGUAUGGGGGACAGUGUGUGUAUGGGGACAGUGUUUGUGGGGCACUGUGUGUGUAUGGGGACAGUGUUUGUG